rnacentral:tRNA from 1 species
GCACUCGUAGCUCAGAUGGAUAGAGUACUCGGCUACGAACCGGGCGGUCACAGGUUCGAAUCCUGUCGAGUGCACCA